CGGCUAUUUUCGCGUGGAGUCGGGCCACCUUUAAGCGGGCUUUGGCACGGUUCUUUGAGCCUCUGGCUUUUUUGCUUAAACGGCGCUGGAGCUGCGCCAGGCGGGCCGCGUAUUUAGCAGUAUGGCGGGGAUUGCCGGAUUUAAAUCCGGUAUCAGUGACGAACAAAUCUUUUAAACCCACAUCAAUUCCGACCGUUUUAGCGGUGAUCGGCAGUGAUACGGGCUCAAGCUCGCAGAGACAGGAGACGAAAUAUCGCCCGGCGACGUCUCUGGAAAGGGUGACGGUAGAUGGAGUAGACGGCAAUUCACGGCUCCAGCGCACGUCUAAAGGCGCUUUACUCUUUGCCAUAUACAGCUUGCCAUUGCGAUAUUUGAAUGCGCUGGCGGUCAAUUCAGCGGCUUGUUUAUGGCGCUUACUUUUGAAUGCCGGGUAUGCGGCACGCCCGGCGAAAAAGUUAGUAAAGGCGGUCUGUUGGUGGCGCAGCGACUGCUGUAGCGGCACGCAGGAAACAUCAU
rnacentral:antisense_RNA from 1 species